UGGAGCAUGUGGUUUAAUUCGAAGCAACGCGAAGAACCUUACCAGGUCUUGACAUCCCGAUGCUAUUUCUUAGAGAUAGAAAGUUACUUCGUACAUCGGUGACAGGUGGUGCAUGGUUGUCGUCAGCUCGUGUCGUGAGAUGUUGGGUUAAGUCCCGCAACGAGCGCAACCCCUAUUGUUAGUUGCCAUCAUCCAGUUGGGCACUCUAGCGAGACUGCCGGUAAUAAACCGGAGGAAGUGGGGAUGACGUCAAAUCAUCAUGCCCCUUAUGACCUGGGCUACACACGUGCUACAAUGGUUGGUACAACGAGUUGCGAGUCGGUGACGGCGAGCUAAUCUCUUAAAGCCAAUCUCAGUUCGGAUUGUAGGCUGCAACUCGCCUACAUGAAGUCGGAAUCGCUAGUAAUCGCGGAUCAGCACGCCGCGGUGAAUACGUUCCCGGGCCUU
rnacentral:rRNA from 1 species